GUUGAACGCUGGCGGCCGGCCUAACACCUGCCCUUCGAGCGGGUUCAGGUCGCUUGCUCCCGGCCCUAGCGGCGGACGGGUGAGUACUGCUUAGGAAUCUGCCUAUUAGUGGGGGACAACAUCUCGAAAGGGAUGCUAAUACCGCAUACGUCCUACGGGAGACAGCAGGGGAUCUUCGGACCUGGCGCUAAUAGAUGAGCCUAAGUCGGAUUAGCUAGUUGGGGGGGUAAAGGCCUACCAAGGCGACGAUCUGUAGCGGGUCUGAGAGGAUGAUCCGCCACACUGGGACUGAGCCACGGCCCAGACUCCUCCGGGAGGCAGCAGUGGGGAAUAGUGGACAAUGGGGGGCACCCUGAUCCAGCCAUGCCGCGUGUGUAAAGAAGGCCUUAUGGUUGUAAAGCACGUUAAGCGAGGAGGAGGCUACUUUAGUUAAUACCUAGAGAUAGUGGACGUUACUCGCAGAAUAAGCACCGGCUAACUCUGUGCCAGCCGCCGCAGUAA
rnacentral:rRNA from 1 species